rnacentral:rRNA from 1 species
GAUGAACGCUGGCGGUAUGCUUUACACAUGCAAGUCGAACGAAAGCUUUUGCUUUAGUGGCGAACGGGUGAGUAACACGUAAGAAUCUACCUUCAGGAGGGAGAUAACAAUUGGAAACGAUUGCUAAUAUCCCAUAUGCUGCAAAGUGAAAUAUUUUUGCCUGAAGAUGAGCUUGCGUCUGAUUAGCUAGUUGGUAAGGUAAUGGCUUACCAAGGCAACGAUCAGUAGCUGGUUUGAGAGGAUGAUCAGCCACACUGGAACUGAGACACGGUCCAGACUUCUACGGAAGGCAGCAGUGGGGAAUUUUCCGCAAUGGGCGCAAGCCUGACGGAGCAAUACCGCGUGAAGGAUGAAUGCCUGUGGGUUGUAAACUUCUUUUAUUAGGGAAGAAUAAUGACGGUACCUAAUGAAUAAGCAUCGGCUAACUUCGUGCCAGCAGCCG